GGCGAGGGCGGGUGCGGGGGGGGGGGAAGUGCGGGGGGGGGGAGGGUGGUGGGGAAUGAUUGGGCGGAAAGGGGUGGUGGGGGGGGUCGCAAGUCGGUAGGGAAAGCGCCAGGCUCAACUGGGAGUCUGCUGCCGAAACUGGGGUGCUUGAGUAUGGGAGAGGUGAGUGGAAUUCCCGGUGUAGCGGUGAAUGCGUAGAUAUCGGGAAGAACACCUGUGGCGAAAGCGGCUCACUGGACCAUAACUGACGCUGAGGCGCGAAAGCUAGGGGAGCAAACAGGAUUAGAUACCCCUGUAGUC
rnacentral:rRNA from 1 species